rnacentral:snRNA from 1 species
AUACUUACCUAGCAGGGGAGAGUCCAUGAUCACAAAAGUGGUUUUCCCAGGGCGAGGCUUAUCCAUUGCACUCUGGAUGUGCUGACCCCUGCAAUUUCCCCAAAUUUGGGAAACUUGACUGCAUAAUUUGUGGUAGUGGGGACUAUGUUUGCGCUCUCCCCU